CUUUGUUCUCUCACAGAACGCAAGUAUAGAACCUUGACAGAAUAUGUGGCACAGCUAUUUGAGGACUCUGAAAUGUAGACAGAAACAAACAGGCAACCCUGCAGUGGUAGUAGUGGUGACAGCAGCAGCGGCAAUGAUGGAAGCCUGCAGGAGCCAAGAGUGUAAGAAAUGGAAACCGCUUUCUCUAUUUUCUCUGGAGCUAUAGAUUCAGACGGUUAUCUUAACAGUCUGCAACAAUAUACUGAGAGAAGCACUAACGAAACUGCAUUUCUCUGUCAUGCUGUGCCAGCUGUAGUAUGUGGGAAACCUUGUCUCUCCCAAGUACCUUCUGUCUCUGGCAGCUCCAUGUAAACUUCAGGAAUGAAAGAAGUUGGAAGAGGAAACAUUAGGAAUUUCCUUUCAAACUCCAAUCAAAACAGCCCAUUUGAAUAUUUUUUUAAAAAAAUUCCAAAAAUUCUUCCUGUGAGGAUGCAUUGGCUAAAGCAGGUCAAAGUUGCUGAAGAGGACUAAGCGAGCCUCUUGGGGAAGAUGAUAUCAUCUGAUCUGUACACAUGUCACAUUCAGAACAUUCUGCAUGGCUGCUGCUGAGCUCCCAUCUGUCAGAUCUCAACAGAGAGAACAAAGACUAGAGAUGUGAGUAAUUCAAGAAACAUCCAUUUACUAGCUGAAAAAACAAAUAAAAUUAGGAGGAGCCACUUUCUUCUUGUUACAUGUUACUGAUACGUGUUCUACCUGGCCAUACCACACAUUACAUAAAAUGUAUUCAACUACUUUACUGUCA
rnacentral:lncRNA from 1 species